rnacentral:tRNA from 1 species
CGGGUCACGGUUCGGUUCAGGACGGGCGGCCACAGGCCGCCCCUACGGGGUGCGUGCAGGGCGCGACGACCCGGC